GUUCCACAAUCAAUGUUUAUUACAUGUUUUUAUAUUUAUCCGGAACAAAUUGAACUGGACCGAUUUCUUACAUCACCGUAUUUAUCGACUGCCUUUAAUUUCUGUGACACCGUCCGCAUCAAUAUUUCUUCACAUGGAACAUGGACGACAUUUUAACUUUCUGAGGAAAUCGAGACAUACCACUGUCAAUUUACCAAUCUACUGACUACUUGUAAACCUUUCUGGUGGAAUACUAUAAUUACAAUUUUCAAAACAA